rnacentral:rRNA from 1 species
AGGACGAACGCUGGCGGCGUGCUUAACACAUGCAAGUCACGGGGGCCGGUAGCAAUACCGGUAACCGGCGAACGGGUGCGUAACACGUGAGCAACCUGCCGAUCUGAGGGGGAUAGCCGGCCCAACGGCCGGGUAAUACCGCAUACGUUCUCGAGGGGGAGUCCUCUUGAGAAGAAACCUCCGGGGCAGAUCGAGGGGCUCGCGGCCUAUCAGCUAGUUGGCGGGGUAAUGGCCCACCAAGGCAUCGACGGGUAGCUGGU